CGCACUCCACCUGUACCCCGCUCCCCCUCUCCCUCCAUUGUCUUUGCACAGCAAUGGAGGAGAGAAGAUUAGAUGGGACAGGCCAAUAAAACCUUGUUUUCUGGAGAGCUGAGGACUCUGGGACUGCGGAGACAGACACUACCAUCUCCUUUGGAGCUUUUUUUUUAUCAUCCUUUAACGGGGACCAAGAGACGACGUCAAGGCCUGCUGAUGGGGGCGGGCAAGAGCAAGCCCAAGGAGCCAGGCCAGCGCUCACUGAGUCUCGAUGGCACCAUUGGCACGGGCUCGGACAGUGGGCACCACCACCACCUCAACUCGACCCAGCAGACCCAGACCCCCAACAGGAGUCCCGCCGUAGGGGGCAGCAGACAUGGCCACCACCCCGGGAAUGCUCCCACCAACACCCCUGAGCUGGCGCUGUUCGGUGGAGUAGACCACGCGGGUGGUAUCACCUCCCCUCACAGAGGACCACUGGCAGGAGGUGUCACUACAUUUGUGGCACUCUAUGACUAUGAAUCACGGACUGCCUCAGACCUGACCUUCAAGAAAGGCGAGCGGCUGCAGAUCAUCAACAACACGAGAAAGUACAGCUUCAGGGAAGGGGACUGGUGGCUGGCUCGGUCUCUGACUACCGGAGAAAGCGGUUACAUCCCCAGCAACUAUGUGGCCCCCUCUGACUCCAUUCAAGCAGAAGAGUGGUAUUUUGGGAAAAUAACUCGGCGCGACUCAGAGAGGCUCCUUUUGAGUUUACAGAACCGACGAGGCACCUUCCUGGUCCGAGAGAGCGAGACCACCAAGGGAGCCUACUGCCUGUCCGUGUUGGACUACGACAACACCAAAGGUCUCAACGUCAAACAUUACAAGAUACGCAAGCUAGACAGCGGUGGUUUCUACAUCACCUCACGCACCCAGUUCAGUAGCCUGCAGCAGCUGGUCUACCACUAUCAUAAGCAUGCGGAUGGACUGUGCCACUGUCUGACAGAGGUGUGUCCGAUGCUGAAGCCUCAGACCCAGGGCCUGGCCCGCGACGCCUGGGAGAUAUCCCGGGAGUCCCUCCACCUCGACCUCAAACUGGGCCAGGGCUGCUUCGGAGAGGUCUGGAUGGGGACAUGGAAUGGUACAACGCGGGUGGCCAUCAAGACCCUGAAGACGGGUACUAUGUCCCCAGAGGCCUUCCUCCAGGAAGCCCAGGUCAUGAAGAAGCUGAGACACGAGAAACUGGUGCAGCUCUACGCCGUGGUGUCUGAGGAACCCAUCUACAUCGUCACCGAGUACAUGAGCCAAGGUAGCCUGUUGGACUUCCUGAAAGGCGACACGGGCAAGCUGCUACGUCUACCCCAGUUAGUGGAUAUGGCAUCUCAGAUUGCAGCAGGGAUGGCAUACGUAGAGAGAAUGAACUACGUCCACAGAGACCUCAGGGCUGCCAACAUCCUGGUCGGGGACAACCUGGCAUGUAAAGUGGCCGACUUCGGUUUGGCCCGCCUCAUAGAGGACAACGAGUACACUGCUAGACAGGGUGCCAAGUUCCCCAUUAAGUGGACAGCGCCAGAGGCUGCACUCUACGGACGCUUCACCAUCAAGUCAGAUGUCUGGUCAUUCGGGGUCCUGCUCACUGAACUGGCCACUAAAGGCAGAGUCCCAUAUCCAGGAAUGGUGAACCGGGAGGUGUUGGAUCAGGUGGAGCGUGGCUACCGGAUGCCCUGCCCUGCUGAGUGCCCAGCCUCCAUGCACGAGCUCAUGCUCACCUGCUGGAGGAAGGACGCAGAGGAGCGGCCCACCUUCGAGUACCUGCAGGGCUUCCUGGAGGACUACUUCACCUCCACUGAGCCCCAGUACCAGCCUGGGGAGAACCUAUAAGGCUCAGGGACAUCUCCCUCCACCCCGGGCCUUAUGGAUGGACUUUCCCACCCCCCUGCCCAAUGCCCACCCAUGUCGCUGCCUACCCCUCACUGCACCCUGAUCAUGGGUCAGAUCUGCAUAAAGCGUAAUUCAGUGUAAAGACACAGAGACGUGACAGUCCGGCGUCCAUUGUGACAUAGCUUCGUGGCUCUGAGACCAGCGCCAGCGGGGGACGCUCAGCCCGGACCACCCAAAGUCCUCUAUUCAUUUGAAUGUGUUGACAGUUGGAGAAAUAGCUUGAGCCGCGCUGAGAAUUUGAAAAAGUAUGAAAGCCAACGGUCCAAUAUUCUAGAACACUGCUGUGCGUACAAGCACACGUUUUGGACUCUGAUAGGCGCUUAAGUGCCGUGAAGGGCAUCACUGGUAUGUUGAUGCCCUUCACCCACCAGGAAUAAGAGUACAGAGGAGUUAAUUGAGUAUUCAGGCGAACUGCUGUAGACUUUAGAUUACAGUUAAAGUUAUGGAAGACCUUACACAAACAAGAUGACUUGUGACAUAGCAAUAAGAAAGUAGUGCUGUCCAUGGUUUGCUUUGAAAUCAAGAACUUCCUCACUGAGAAACAAACCGUGUUCAACAAUCUUGAUCAAUAUGAUGAUGACAUGUAUACUUAAAAAUGAGUCCCAGUAUCUAAUAAUAGAAGUACGAAAUGUGUGGUAGUGAUGUAGGUUUAAAUAUUUCUAAAAUUAACGACUGACGAUCCUGUUAUUUGAUUGUUUAUUUUCUCUAAAUCUGCCAUUUUCUUUCACCCAACAUGAUGCAAUGACACAGACGAACUUUCGGGGGAAAUGCCAGAUGGGCCAGUCAAUUGUUUUGCCCAGUGGGCCUAUCUAACUGGUUUCUUGCGCAAAAUGAUCAUCUGGCCAAUAAUGGGGGCAUUGAGGAACAAAAUGUGCCAGUAUGGUGGCCUCAAGUUUUAAAUAAAAAAUGUAGAAAUGCCAGGGCUGAUUUGUGGCCCCUUGAUACUGUAAAUAGGGUACAUUUACACCCCCCCUCCUCCCACAUUGACAUAUUUUGGGGGGUUGAAUAAUCUGUAUGUAGCUUUUUGUCCUUUGAGUGAGGGGUAGACAAACGUCAAAACAUGGCAAAAUGAUGCUUAGGCUUUUUUGUAUAUUUCAAUUGAAUAUUUGAACCUGUCGGUACAUUGACAAGGACAACUUGAGGCCAUUGUAUUGCAGGUAAAGCAUUGGAAUGUAUUCUAAUAUAUUUUGAAAUAUGGACCACAACGUUUCUUUCAAAUCUGUUGGACAAAAUAGGGGACACAUUUUUCAAAUAAUUUCAAGCCAAGGACUAGAUUCUUGAUUCCCUGUCCAACAUGUUUUAUAAACCUAUGCAGUUUCUGGUUUACCAUUCCUAAAAUAUUUAUCAUUUGAAAUGGACAAUAUCAGAAGAUUGAGGAUUUUGUAAGUAGUAUUAUUUUCUCUUUUUUAUGUGUAUCAGAAUUGGAUUGAAAUGGGUAUUGUGCCACUUUAUGUUAUCUUUAAAUGUGCAAUAAAUUAUAUUUCAAGAGCG